rnacentral:lncRNA from 1 species
AAAGUGUAUGGGCAUGAAGAUUCAAAGAAAAAGAUGCGGCCGUUGAAAGAUUUAUAUGCUCCUUUGCUCCAGGUACCUGAACCACUAAGGCCAGUUUCACCAAAUUCAUUUAGUCCAGAAGCACCAACACCAAGUUCAUCUGCACUCUUACCUCCUCCACCACUUCCAGAAUCAGAAGACCAAGUGUUUCCUCCUAAUGGAAAUCAAAAUAUUGAAGAUUUGUGGCAACCCUGUGACUACCAACUCUAUUGAAACCAUUUCUCCAAUAGCAUGAGCUCACUUCAGGUAAAAAGGAAAAAAGCAAGUAAGACCCAAACUGAGUGUUCAGCUGCAGUAAUCUGCUUCUCUUGUGGGACUGAGAGCAUUUACUCCCUCCACUUCUGUAAUGACCCUAUUCACAAUUUAUACCAGUCUUAUGUUUCACUGUGUGACCCUCCAAGACCAUCCAUAUGACACUGGAAAGUUCAGAGAAAAUGUAAACGUAAAAUAAAGGCAUAUUUUAUAAGACUUAGAGAAUAUGAAAAAUAUCUAAAGGAAAGAAACUUGCCUAGCUGUGCUGUCAUCAUGACUCUGACCGAAUUACAAAAGUUGUAAAUUACACGUAUAAGUCGACGAGUUGAAAGAUCCAGGAGUAAAAUAUGGCCUCCUCCAGUUCCUAUCCAAAGAGCAGUGUUCUUCUGAAGGCAGAGGGUUUUCACUCUCCCAGAAUAAGACAUUUUGUGU